rnacentral:rRNA from 1 species
UGGGGAAUUUUGGACAAUGGGCGAAAGCCUGAUCCAGCUAUGCCGCGUGAGUGAAGAAGGCCUUCGGGUUGUAAAGCUCUUUUAGUCGGAAAGAAAGAGUUGCAAUGAAUAAUUGUGAUUCAUGACGGUACCGACAGAAAAAGCACCGGCUAACUACGUGCCAGCAGCCGCGGUAAUACGUAGGGUGCGAGCGUUAAUCGGAAUUACUGGGCGUAAAGGGUGCGCAGGCGGUCUUGCAAGUCAGAUGUGAAAGCCCCGGGCUUAACCUGGGAAUUGCGUUUGAAACUGCAAGACUAGAGUGCAGCAGAGGGGAGUGGAAUUCCAUGUGUAGCAGUGAAAUGCGUAGAGAUGUGGAAGAGCACCGAUGGCGAAGGCAGCUCCCUGGGUUGACACUGACGCUCAUGCACGAAAGCGUGGGGAGCAAACA